UACGUACUGUGCGAACGUUAUUCGGAAUCACUGGGCUUAAAGGGUGCGUAGGCGGCUAUCUAAGUAGGGUGUGAAAGCUCUCGGCUCAACCGAGGAAUUGCGCUCUAAACUGGAUGGCUUGAGUGAGAUAGGGGUGUGCGGAACUUCCAGUGGAGCGGUGAAAUGUGUUGAUAUUGGAAGGAACACCGGUGGCGAAAGCGGCACACUGGGUCUUAACUGACGCUGAGGCACGAAAGCCAGGGGAGCGAAC
rnacentral:rRNA from 1 species